rnacentral:rRNA from 1 species
UACGGAGGGUGCAAGCGUUAUCCGGAUUCACUGGGUUUAAAGGGUGCGUAGGCGGGCAGGUAAGUCAGUGGUGAAAUCCUGGAGCUUAACUCCAGAACUGCCAUUGAUACUAUCUGUCUUGAAUAUUGUGGAGGUAAGCGGAAUAUGUCAUGUAGCGGUGAAAUGCGCAGAUAUCAGGAAGAACACCUAUGGCGAAAGCAGCUCUCUGGGACGGUACUGACGCUGAGACGCGAAAGCGUGGGGAGCGAACAGG